rnacentral:rRNA from 1 species
GCCGUAGGGGGCAAUCGUUGUCCGGAUUCAUUGGGCGUAAAGAGCUCGUAGGCGGCUUGGCAAGUCAGAUGUGAAACCCUCAGGCUUAACCUGGGGCCGCCAUCUGAUACUGCUAUGGCUAGAGUCCGGUAGGGGAUCGUGGAAUUCCUGGAGUAGCGGUGAAAUGCACAGAUCUCAGGAGGAACACCAGUGGCGAAGGCGGCGAUCUGGGCCGGUACUGACGCUGAGGAGCGAAAGCGUGGGGAGAAAACAGG